AAGGUUUUAAGUUAAUUAAACUAAUAGCCUUCAAAGCUGUAAAUAAAAUUGUAUUUUUAAACCUUA
rnacentral:tRNA from 1 species